GAAAGAAAGAAAGAAAGAAAGAAAGAAAGAAAGAAAGAAAGAAAGAAAGAAAGAAAGAAAGAAAGUCACGACAACGAGGCCCACAGUGCUCUAAUAAUUCUGGACCAAAUAGUUGGAUUAUUUCACCAUGUCAUGUCUCUCUGGCUCCCCAGGACAGGUGAUGGAGCAUGGCUUUGGGUUUUUAAGCAGGCCUGACAACUGCAAACAUCUUCCUGGCUUUUUGCCUUUAUCUUGAAAUCUGGCGCUGAGGCGAGAAACGCCUUGGGCUCGUCCCCGGCUCUGCAGUGCUGGGGGUGACUGAGGGCUGGGUCCGGGGACAUGCGGAAUCGGAGGGAAGCCACAGCGAGUGCUUGGAAGCGCAGGCCCGGGUUUGGACGGGGCCGAGGGCAGGGACGGGGAGUCCGGGUCUGCACCGCCGGCCGGUGACGUAGGAGGAGCACGCACGGCAUUGGCGAACGGGCCGUGGCACAGCCAAUGGCAGCGUGAGGCGGGCGGGGGGGGCGCCGGGGAUCUACCGGGCACCAGGUGACGUCAGAUGCAGUCCGAGUCACCAUUGGCAGCUCGCUCGGGCGCGGCAGGGACCCGGCAGGGACCCUGGCAGAAAUGGUGCCCAAGCAGCCUGUGGUGAAGACCUUGAGGAAGCAGCUGUCCUGCAGCAGCCCAUUGUGAAAUACAAAGCUGUGUUUCGUGUCAGCUUGAGAAAGGAAGAUGAACAUCAACUCCAGGAUUGAUAGUUUUGACCAAGGGAAGCUGGACGUCACUGGUAUGAGAUUUAUAGUCCUUACAAUUAAAAGGUGAACCCGCAUCUGGACCCUGGACCUCACCAGCUGGGAGACUUCUUUCUUCUUUCGGAAGCUGGACCCCACCAUCUGGGGAUACUCCUUUCUGGGAUACAUCCUGAGAAAAACUAAAUCACAACAGUGUAUAGAAUUGUUACGUAAAAAUUUGGAAUAGAAACUGCUGAAAAAGCUUAUGAACACCCCUAUAAAUAUCUGUAAGCCCCAACUAUUGGUGUGCAGUUGGAGGGAAAAUUUCCCCCACUGUACCCAGCACUGUAUUGCUCAUACUUUACCGUAUUAAUUAAUAAAUUGAUUGCUGCUUGAG